rnacentral:misc_RNA from 1 species
CAUAUAUAAUCAUUUUCAAAUAUAUUGUGAGUCUCGAGAGAUAUGUGGGACUUAGAGUAAAACUUUCCUUUAUAACUCUUCUCAAGAUGUUUCUGUGUGUUUAACAGGAACAAGGAGAGCACGGGCGAGUAACUACUGUUGCGUCGAGUGCUAGAAGUGAUACAGGCAUACUUAACGUCGUGUAAAGUGAAGAUUUUGCUAAUUUUGUUGAAUUUGAUCUUAUUAUUUUUCUUGAAUUUAAAACCUGUGUU